GUAAAUGGCCAUACCACGGUGAAAGCACGCCAUCCCGUCCGAUCUGGCAAGUUAAGCAACGUUGGCCCUGGUUAGUACUGAAACAAAGUAGUGGAGAAAAAAUAGAAAUCAACGGAAAUGAUAGUA
rfam:Nippostrongylus brasiliensis genome assembly, scaffold: NBR_scaffold0001732